rnacentral:rRNA from 1 species
CACGAUUAUUAACCUCUUCUAGAUAUCAGCCUGUGUACUGCCGUCGUAAGCAUACCUUUAAAAGAAUUUUAGUAUGCAAUAAUGAUAAUCUCAUACACGUCAGGUCAAAGUGCAGCUAAUGAAGGGGAGGCGAUGGGUUACACCAUAAAUAAAUAUACGAAUUAUAAUAUAAAAAUUUAUAUGAAGGUGGACUUGGAUGUAAUCACAACUCCAGUUUAAAUGAAACUGAACCUAAGACAUGUACACAUCGCCCGUCACUCUCGCUUGAAGGUGAGAUAAGUCGUAACAAAGUAGGUGUAACGGAAGUUGCACCUGU